UACGGGGGGGGCAAGCGUUGUUCGGAAUUACUGGGCGUAAAGGGCUCGUAGGUGGCCAACUAAGUCAGACGUGAAAUCCCUCAGCUUAACUGGGGAACUGCGUCUGAUACUGGAUGGCUUGAGUUCGGGAGAGGGAUGCGGAAUUCCCGGUGUAGCAGUGAAAUGCGUAGAUAUCGGGAGGAACAUCCGUGGCGAAGGCGGCCACCUGGACCAGCACUGACACUGAGGCACGAAAGCGUGGGGAGCAAACAGG
rnacentral:rRNA from 1 species